CCGGCAAACGGGUGCGGAACACGUACAGAACCUUCCUUUAAGCGGGGGACAGCCCGGAGAAAUCCGGAUUAAUACCCCAUAUUAUUAUUUGGUGGCAUCACUGGGUAAUUAAAGAUUUAUCACUUAGAGAUGGCUGUGCGGCUGAUUAGGUAGUUGGUGUGGGUAACGGCCCACCAAGCCUUCGAUCAGUAACUGGUGUGAGAGCACGACCAGUCACACGGGCACUGAAACACGGGCCCG
rnacentral:rRNA from 1 species